GACGAACGCUGGCGGCGUGCUUAACACAUGCAAGUCGAACGGAAAGGCCCUGCUUUUGUGGGGUGCUCGAGUGGCGAACGGGUGAGUAACACGUGAGUAACCUGCCCUUGACUUUGGGAUAACUUCAGGAAACUGGGGCUAAUACCGGAUAGGAGCUCCUGCUGCAUGGUGGGGGUUGGAAAGUUUCGGCGGUUGGGGAUGGACUCGCGGCUUAUCAGCUUGUUGGUGGGGUAGUGGCUGACCAAGGCUUUGACGGGUAGCCGGCCUGAGAGGGUGACCGGCCACAUUGGGACUGAGAUACGGCGCAGACUCCUACGGGAGGCAGCAGUGGGGAAUAUUGCACAAUGGGCCGAAGCCUGAUGCAGCAACGCCGCGUGCGGGAUGACGGCCUUCGGGUUGUAAACCGCUUUCGCCUGUGACGAAGCGUGAGUGACGGUAAUGGGUAAAGAAGCACCGGCUAACUACGUG
rnacentral:rRNA from 1 species